rnacentral:rRNA from 1 species
AUUGAACGCUGGCGGCAUGCUUUACACAUGCAAGUCGAACGGCAGCGCGGGCUUCGGCCUGGCGGCGAGUGGCGAACGGGUGAGUAAUGCAUCGGAACGUGCCCAGUAGUGGGGGAUAGCCCGGCGAAAGCCGGAUUAAUACCGCAUACGACCUGAGGGUGAAAGCGGGGGACCGAAAGGCCUCGCGCUAUUGGAGCGGCCGAUGUCGGGUUAGCUAGUUGGUGGGGUAAAGGCUUACCAAGGCGACGAUCCGUAGCUGGUCUGAGAGGACGACCAGCCACACUGGGACUGAGACACGGCCCAGACUCCUACGGGAGGCAGCAGUGGGGAAGUUUGGACAAUGGGGGCAACCCUGAUCCAGCCAUGCCGCGUGCGGGAAGAAGGCCUUCGGGUUGUAAACCGCUUUUGUUCGGGAAGAAAUCCUCUGGGCUAAUACCCCGGGGGGAUGACGGUACCGGAAGAAUAAGCACCGGCUAACUACGU